rnacentral:lncRNA from 1 species
CCUUUCCUCCAUAUCCGGGAAUGGUGUAUUUAGCUGAUGUUGACGCACAAGGUAAUGUAUCAAUUUCACUUGAAGCUUACUUGUAGUUUCGGGCUUGGUCAAGUGCGAUACAAACCCUAUAAGUAGGAGUCCCCCAAGUCGCCGAGCUAGGAGAUCUGCCGAAAGAGGUGACAGACAAGGUAAGCAGUCAAACUUCCAAGUAAGCAACCCAGGAGCAGAGGUUUGACUUCGGCUUCCGGUU